UACGGAGGGUGCGAGCGUUGUCCGGAAUCACUGGGCGUAAAGCGCACGUAGGCGGAUCUUUAAGUCAGAGGUGAAAUCCCAAGGCUCAACCUUGGAACUGCCUUUGAUACUGGGGAUCUUGAGUCCGGGAGAGGUGAGUGGAACUGCGAGUGUAGAGGUGAAAUUCGUAGAUAUUCGCAAGAACACCAGUGGCGAAGGCGGCUCACUGGCCCGGUACUGACGCUGAGGUGCGAAAGCGUGGGGAGCAAACAGGG
rnacentral:rRNA from 1 species